UUAACCGAAACCAAAGGAGGAGGUAUACUACUGUUAAUAGUACUAAUGAAAAAAUUCCGGUUAAA
rnacentral:tRNA from 1 species